UUUAUCAUUUGUCCCGAAACCGCUUCAUAUUGUUUUAGGAUACCCAAUAUU
rnacentral:sRNA from 1 species